CGCCUUGCCAGCCCGCUCAGAAACUACAAAGGAAUUGACGGGGCCCGCACAAGCGGAGGAGCAUGUGGUUUAAUUCGAUGAUACGCGAGGAACCUUACCUGGGCUCGAACGUAAGAUGACUGUAGGUGAAAGCUUACAUCUCUUCGGAGCAUUUUACGAGGUGCUGCAUGGUUGUCGUCAGCUCGUGCCGUGAGGUGUCGGGUUAAGUCCCAUAACGAGCGCAACCCCUACCUUUAGUUGCCAUCAGGUUAAGCUGGGGACUCUAAAGGAACUGCCUACGCAAGUAGUGAGGAAGGCGGGGAUGACGUCAAAUCAGCACGGCCCUUACGUCCAGGGCUACACACGUGCUACAAUGGCCGAUACAGAGGGCAGCUACCUGGUGACAGGAUGCAAAUCUCCAAAGUCGGUCUCAGUUCGGAUCGGAGUCUGCAACCCGACUCCGUGAAGUUGGAUUCGCUAGUAAUCGCGAAUCAGAAUGUCACGGUGAAUACGUUCCCGGGCCUU
rnacentral:rRNA from 1 species